GCGGCCAUGGCCUAGUGGUUAUGGCGUCAGUCUUACAGUGGCCUUGUGCCUCCAUGUGAACACUGAAGGUCGGUGGUUCGAUCCCGCCUGGCCGUA
rnacentral:tRNA from 1 species